UUAGUUAUAUUCUCCAUGCCAAGUUGGAAAGAUUUUCCCUUUUAUGUGGCAGUUGGCAUGUGGGAAAAUAAAGGAAAUGAUGUGUAUCUUUGUCUAUUAUACAUCCGGUCGGUGGCUUUCUUUGUAUUUAUCUAAAUUAUAAGUGCAUAAAUAAACGGAAAACCACUCAUUAGUUGAUUAUACUGUCUAUUUGGAGGUUUCGUGUUAAACGCUUACUGAUAUCUAUUCCCCCCUAAAAUGAUAAAGGUUAAAACUCAUUGAAAUCUAGAAAACUGAAACAUUUGUUUCAAAUAACACGAAGUAUGACAAAAAAGAAGACACUUGCAUACACGUACUGAACGUUAUCGCCCAAUUACAAGCAUAGAUAUCAUGCGCUCGCAAAUCCUAAUGUGUUUCAAACGUAUUUCGCUAUUUAAACAGCAUUGUCUUUAUAUAUUAUUUUUUAUACUGACAUGAUUGAUAAAUUUUUUCUUAAAUUUGUUUAUAUAUUCGAGAAUUUAAAGAUAUCACGGUUCCAACUCACUGUUAAUCUACAUGUACCUGACACUAAGGUUUGGUAUACUUUGGAUUUGUCUGAAAGAUUCUAGAUUAUAACCAUAUAGUCGUUAUAAAAUGAGGUGAACAUUUCAUAUAUAAAGUAGUAGAUAGCCUGUUCUAAAUUAAAGCUUUGCAUGAAAGAAAUAUAUCCCGUAAUUUUAGUUCAAAAUUUUGCAACAGCAAAUUUCAAUGACACAAUAUGCUCAUUUUCAUUUCGGUACUGGCUCCUGGCUUUCGGUUUACCAGCAGAGGUAUCGACCGUCUGGUAGUAAUUACAAUACCGGCACCAAUUAAACUGCACAAGAUAUGCUUUUCGACCAUAAAUGUCUCUUCAGUGAGGUUCGAGGCAAGAAUAUUUGAAAUUCCAAAACUUAUUCAGACCUGAUAUAACAAAAAAGAAUGCAGUUAAAGCCAAAUCCUGACAAGUAAUCAUCGCUUUGCAAGAUGGGGAUAAUUCCUAAAUAUUAGAUAAUUUUUAACAUUUCGUAAAAUUAAAUUUGAAUAACACAAUAUUCGUAUUUAAAAAACAUUGUGAUAUCAGGCGUUCCGAAAGGGUAAUCAGUUCUGUAAAACUACUAGUAGCCGUCGUUUUGCACUUGCAGGUGAAAAGUCAGAGAUAAGUAACAUUGGCUUAAGUCACACUAGCGGAAGAGUGAACAGUAUUGUGAUAACACCUUCAUGAUUUUUUUGACUGUUUAUGUCACAAAUAACCACAAAUAUAUUUGAAUUGUCGUAACCACAAUCUCUUUAGUUUUUCCACUAUUACCACAACCAAUGAUUAGUAUUUACAAAUAAGUCACAACACGAUGGAAACCAAACUUGGGCAGAAUCUGCUGUCCAUUUUGCCUGACAAAUAACCACUGUCGUUAAGUUACGAUACAUACAUUGUUGUCCAAGUCAUAGGUUAGUGAACACGUGCUUUUUCGGUUCACAACGUUUUCAUGGCCAAUACCUCCCUUCUAUUGAUGGAUACUGUCCAAGCAUUAUUCUUACUGAUUUUUUUAGCAUGCAUAUACAUAUUUUCUCAGGCACUUCCAAAAGACUUAUUGUGUUUAGCCAUGCCGACAUAUGUUAUCCGAAUAUCUAUAUCUUCUAACGACAAUAUUAGCAAUUGAACAUGCAACCUCCUAAGAUUAAAUGAUAUAUUAUCCAUAGAUAAUUAACUUUAUGCAUUCUACAAACAUUAAGACAGACACAUUUAUAAUAAGAAUUGUUUAUUACUAUUUCCUUUUUUAUUUUAAAAAAAGCAUGUACAUAUCCGGAGCAGGAAAAUUCAUGUUUGUGCACAGACACCAAUAGAAAAACGUCAGAGGCUGUUCAAAUCAGUGAAGUGAAACCAAAAUCGUCUAUUGACAUGAUUGAGGAAGAAUACUUCAACUGUACAUAUCAACUUGACAAUAUGGCAAUACACUCAAAGGAAUUAAAACCAUAUGCUCAUUUGCACUUAAUUAAUUCACAUUGAAACCUCAAGAUUUUAAAGCGUUUAUCAGCUGAUAUUAGACUGAUGUUAGGUGAAAUAAUUCCUCCAGCAUCUGACUUAUAU